AAUGUAUAAGAGAUCGCAAAAUAUGAAUAUUUAGCCAACUCUAUUUAGGUACCAUUUAUAUUACAAUUUUAGUGGUUUGAUUAGCUGAAUAAUUAAUCUCUCACUCUAGACAAUUAGCAACUUAAGCUAACAGGACUGUCAUCUUUAGUUUCUCGUGAUUUGAACUAUUCUCACAAACAGACAAUCACAAUUGAUGUCCAAGAAGAUGAUAAUCCAACUCUCAUAUAUUAACAGGAACAAAAAAUUUGUAUUCCCAAUAAAUUUAAGAUCACAACUUGUCUUUCACCGCUCUGCUCAAACCUAACCGAAAUAUCCAGUCAAAUCAAA
rnacentral:lncRNA from 1 species